ACACCGGUGGUGAAGUGGUUAUCAUGCUUGCCUUCCAUUCGUGCGGGGAUCGAACCCGUGGAUUAGUUGAGCAAGCGGCACGGGUUCGAUUCCCGUCCGGUGUA
rfam:Schizophyllum commune H4-8 unplaced genomic scaffold SCHCOscaffold_10, whole genome shotgun sequence.